CACGUAGGGGGCAAGCGUUGUCCGGAAUCAUUGGGCGUAAAGAGCUCGUAGGCGGCUCAGUAAGUCGGGUGUGAAACCUCCAGGCUCAACCUGGAGACGCCACCCGAUACUGCUGUGGCUAGAGUCCAGUAGGGGAGUGUGGAAUUCCCGGUGUAGCGGUGAAAUGCGCAGAUAUCAGGAGGAACACCGGUGGCGAAGGCGGGUCUCUGGGCCGAAACUGACGCUGAGGAGCGAAAGCGUGGGGAGCGAACAGG
rnacentral:rRNA from 1 species